UAGGUGAGCUCAUGUGAACUCUCACCCUUCACCACCUGCUGUUGCUAGGUGUACUGAAAGGAUGUUAAUUCCAUGUAGAAAAAAUGGUUAUGUAUGGAAUCUCUGACCAAGAGUCAAGUGAAUGCAGUGCCACUCAAUGGAGGCAAGCUUCUGCAUUGUAGAAAAAUAUGUACUUAUUGUUUACAUAUCAGUAGCUGUGAUGAAAAUUCAAAUUGCUUUUUUGUUGGGUACAGCCCUGUAAGGGCAUUUAUUUAGAACAUACGUAGGCCACCUUUAGGAGUUAAAACACCAUGAAGGCAUAUUUCAUGAUGAAAUAUUAAGAUAUAUCAUAAUACAACCCAAGUUAUCCAUGCACUAAUAAAGCCAGCUGUAGCAAAACAAAAUUUCCCAUUGGCUUGACUAGCAAGGCCAGUCUAAAAUUACAAACCUUGAUCAAAAUGUUGGUGUUGCUUGGGCUCUUCUUAGGCAAACAAGAAAACAAGCUAGACAGGUAUUCAAAGAAUUUUGUCUUCUAAUAAAUCAAAGGCUGCUUGCCAUUAUCAGUGAUUCUCUUAGACAGAAUAGGUUGUUCUGAUUAAAUUUGGCACUGUCUAUAUUCCUAAUUAGAUUAGCAUUUUAUAAUAAAUUCUAAAGAUUGAUACUUUCACAAUAUUAAAUGCUCUUAUAACACUGCUGCUUUUUUCUUCUUCUUUAAUUAUUACCAAAUAAUUACUAUUUUAGUGUCCACCUCCUGGCAGAGAACAUAAUUAAAUAAGGAAGCCAAGCUUUGGGCUUUGGUUUUGCAAAACAAUUGCCUAAAAUUUGACCAUGCCACAAUACCUUCAAACUGUUUACUUAAAUAAAUAAACAAAAGGCAGUAAUGGAUCCUGUUCAGUCAAAAACAUACACCUGCCAAGUGUACUAGAUACUGGAAAACACAUACAGCCCUUAAAAGUAGAAUGCUUGAACAGAUUGUUAUAAUUCUAUAAGUAGUAUUAAUCUUUAGGUGUGACCAUAUCUAAAGGGAUAACUACAAGUGUUUUUACUCUUGUUUGCACUGUAUGUGGGUGUGUGAUUGUGAUAUAAAUAUAGCCUGUCAUAUUUCAUACUGUAAUCUGUGUUUGAGAAAACGACACAGAACCAAUUUGUAACUAUUGCUUUAUUUUUUGUGAACAUAUAAAUCCAAGCAUAUAGUAAACUUACUCUUUGGGAUCUGAAUAACCCACAGUUGACAUCUUGUGUAUCACUGCCCUGUGUGUGCAUUUUUAGAAACAGAAAAGCCCCUGGAGUACUUUUACUCUUCAGUUAUUGUAUGAAACUGUUUUUCUGUGGAAAGAUUUUUAAAAAAUGGAUCACCUGGCAAAGACCAAGUUGUCUCCCUGAGUAACAGACUGUGACAAUACAUGUCAGAGAUUCCUGCUGCUUUGAAGACUGUGUUUAUUUUUGCUUUGAAUAUGCCUGGCACUCCAGAAAGCAACUGUGAAAGCAGCAGUGCCUGCUGGUAUAGCUACGGCCUUCCUACUGCUAUUUCUUAGUAGGUUGCCUUAGAAAUCAAAAGAACAUCUAUAUGCAGUACUGUCGUAGGUAUAUCUGAAUAAUUGAUUUAGAAAGUUAUCUCAUUUCCUACCAUACUCUCACUAAUUAGAUGGAAUAGUGAUGCACCUUAUUUUGACAUACCUUUCGAUUAAUUUAGAGAAGGUGUGGGGAAACCGUUGCCCUCCCUCCGAGUUUUUGCUGAAGUGCAGUUCCCAUCAGCUCCAGCAAGUAUAUUCAAUGGCCAGGAAGGAUGGGAGUUAUAGUUCAGCAAGAUCUAGAGAGCCAAAGGUUCCUUCACACCUGAUUCAAAGGUCUGCAGUGCAAAAAUGUUCAGUUGUCUUUUUGUAAUACUUCUUUGCAUUUUGUACCUUCCAUAAGAGUUUUUGCCUUCCAUGUUGCCUUUUGUUAAUUAUACUUUCUACACCUAAUGUGCUAGUUUGCUCAUGAUUGUUGUCUCUUGCUGACCAACCCAGCUUAAAGCUGCUUCACAUGCAAUUGUUUUCUCCAUCAAGGAAAAUUGUAAUACAGUGGUACCUCGGGUUAAGAAC